AACAGUCCCGCAGUCUGAGCCCAGCUUCAAUGUGGUGUUUUUUUUAUCCUCUUCACAAAGCUCCUGUUUGUUUCGCCUCUUCAUAGACUUAGUCCUGGUCAGUCAGGCCUCACGCCCCCUCAAUUUGAAACAAUCCUCACUUUAUACAGCCAUUAACAGAUGACCUCUGGCUGUGAGAGCUGACCAGACCUCUGAUCCACCAGAGACAACAGAGAGAGAGUGAAAGAGAGAGAAAGGGGCAGAGAGAGAGAGAGAGAGAGAGAGAGAAAACUCUGUGAAGUGAUAGAGACUGUUCUAGUCUGAGACCUGUGGAUCAACAGCAUGGUCCUGCACCAUCGCUCAACCUGAUGGAUUCUCUCUUCAGUGUGUUUAGAGGGGAUUUCUUUGGUCAGUGUAGACAGCAGACAUCACUGUAAUUCUUACUGACACUGACAGUGCAAAGUCUUCCUCCUGCAGAAGAUUCAGUGUACAUGAACAUCUCUCCACUUUCAUCCCCUCUUUCAGGAGCUUCUUCCUCCCUUUAUCCAAAUGUUUGUUGUCUUUUGUAUGGCACUUUGAGCUUCUGUUUGGUCUGUUGUGACCCUGAACACCAGUCCUCACUCUGUUUACCCUCGGCUGUAACUGUAACAUCCUCUCUGCCUCUACACUGCCCCCUACUGUUCACAUUCACACUGCACCUCUCGUUUGUGUUGUGUUCAUUUUUAAGGAUGUGCACAGCUAACACAUCCAAACUAACACUGUCAAAGCCAUCAUGCAUUAAUGUGUGCGCAGACCACAGGAAGUAUAACUGCAGCCUAACACCUCCAGACCCAGCUCGUGAGGGUGUGAACCUCACAUCCUCAGACUGUGGACCGGCGACAUGAGGUUUGAGUUUAUUUGUUCGCCGAUUGAGUGUUUGGAAAUCAGAGAAAUAUUUGUUUCUUUCCUUUUGACUCAGGCUAUUAAAAACUAACUCUGAAGCUAUGAGAGGAAGAGUCAAAGUGAAAAUGAGACAGCUGACUGUGGAUGUUUGAUCUAUUCACUGUAAACUUCUCGGUAUCAAAUGAGCAGAUUGCUGACCGGCAGAUGUUGCUCCUCUGGGACUUUUUGGAGAGUCAGAGUGAAACAGAAAUUCAUGACAAAGAAACAUCACAGAGAGAUAAAAACUGAGAAAAACCUCCCAGAGCUGAAUCCCACUGAUGUUAACAAAGAGAGGACAGAUACAGAGUUUGUUAGAUCCCCUGCAUGUGGAAUAUUUGUAUGAACCUGUCAGUGGUUUCUUAAACACCCAAAGGACAGAUUUCUCAGAUUUUAGCAAAGUCCAACUAAGUCAAACCAGGAUAAUCUGGAUUUAGUUGUUCAUUUGACAAAUAUUCAAAACUCUCCUCUGAUGACAGAUCAUUCAGAGCAUCAGAGUGAUUCAGAGAUUUGUUAUUAAUGACCCUCGACACACUCACACUGAUGGCCCUGAUCAGAUUUUGGCUGCAGGAUGCCAGGCAGACCACUUCCUGCACCCCAUUCAGCAAACAGCACACACACACAUGUACACACACAUACAGGCCCAUAUGCAGCAUGCUCAGCUGUUGCCUUAAACAGAAUCUUGUCAGUCGACUUAACCUGCUGGCGAGCACUUUCAGGAAGGCAUCCUAGUCCUUCCAGUCACUUACUCACUCAGCCAUCCUAAAACCCCCAACCCUGUAUGUGUGUGCGUGUGUAUUUGGGGGGUGGUUGAGGGGAAUUCAGGAUCCCAGCAUGCUUACAGAGAGUGUCAGACACACCCUCAGGAUGGUAAUGACUACAGUAUGAGGCUGAGGAGGGGGGAGCACAGCACUCAGUGUAUGUGUGAGUGUGAGAUCUCCUCUGUGAGUCACCCUCAGAAAAUCUGACCCUGACUGUUUCCUGUUGCAGAGUAUUUCAGUGUUUCAGAGACAGCCCAUCAGACCGUGGAUUUUCUCGUUAGUUUUUAUAGAGAAACUGAAGUAACCACACAAAUGUUUGAAUGGGAGCAUGAAAAUGUCACUUUCCUGCAGGAGGAGACAUGGACUGACUUUUUACUCUUUUAGAUUUUAAGAAAAAACAGAAAGGAAAUCUAAUGACUUGAUGGACUUUAAGGAGUCAGAACGUAAAUGAGCUAGUUUAGGCAGGGCAUAAAAGUCAAGCUACAUCAGUGUGUCCACCGUGAUCAUAACUCCUGCGCACAUCAGCUGACAGCUCAGCUGCUUACCCUACCUUCUAUUUGAUCAUCUCCAACCUGCAAACCACUUUGCUGUUGCUCUCCCUGCCUUCAUCCCAGCUCAGUGUUUCCCCUACAUUCAUACAGUAGUGGCGCACCGCCACUUUGCGCCAUCACUGAAAUUUCACAUGAUCAUUUUGAUUGAUUGAUUGAUUGAUUGAUUGAUUGAUUGAAGGCUUUAUUUCGGACAUGAUAAAAAUAAAGAAACAAAGAAAACAAAGAAAACAAAAAACCCCAAAUCAAAAUAGUCAAAACAACAUAACAAUGUUAACAUGUCCGAAAAGCGCCACUAAUAAUUCCUACUCGCACCGUGUGAGCACAACAACACACAACAUUAUUUUUAACUUGUUUUGAGUCAUCAAUGAGCACAUCAAAUCCUGUUGGACCCUCUUCCAUCAAUAAGAAAGGUAACGUUCAAGCUCAUACACGGUCUAUAUAGCAAGUAGCGUGGGUAACGUAACGUGAACGUAACAGCGUAGCUUCUUGAGCGGCAAGAGAGUGGGAAUAAAAGCGAAAAUGGCUUGUCACUGGCACACCUCUGUUCUCUGCCCAGAGUUCUUCGCUGAUGCUCUCCCUGCCUUAGCUGUAGCACCCCAUGCAUGCAAGGGAAAGCCAA